rnacentral:rRNA from 1 species
GGCGGACGGGUGAGUAACACGUGGGUAACCUACCCAUCAGAGGGGGAUAACACUUGGAAACAGGUGCUAAUACCGCAUAACAGUUUAUGCCGCAUGGCAUAAGAGUGAAAGGCGCUUUCGGGUGUCGCUGAUGGAUGGACCCGCGGUGCAUUAGCUAGUUGGUGAGGUAACGGCUCACCAAGGCCACGAUGCAUAGCCGACCUGAGAGGGUGAUCGGCCACACUGGGACUGAGACACGGCCCAGACUCCUACGGGAGGCAGCAGUAGGGAAUCUUCGGCAAUGGACGAAAGUCUGACCGAGCAACGCCGCGUGAGUGAAGAAGGUUUUCGGAUCGUAAAACUCUGUUGUUAGAGAAGAACAAGGACGUUAGUAACUGAACGUCCCCUGACGGUAUCUAACCAGAAAGCCACGGCUAACUACGUGC